GUAGGGUGCAAGCGUUAAUCGGAAUUACUGGGCGUAAAGCGUGCGCAGGCGGUUUUGUAAGUCUGUCGUGAAAGCCCCGGGCUCAACCUGGGAAUUGCGAUGGAGACUGCAAGGCUUGAAUCUGGCAGAGGGGGGUAGAAUUCCACGUGUAGCAGUGAAAUGCGUAGAGAUGUGGAGGAACACCGAUGGCGAAGGCAGCCCCCUGGGUCAAGAUUGACGCUCAUGCACGAAAGCGUGGGGGGAGCAAACAGGAUUAGAUACCCUGGUAGUCCACGCCCCUAAACGAUGUCUACUAGUUGUCGGGUUUUAAAUUAACCUUGGUAACGCAGCUAACGCGUGAAGUAGACCGCCUGGGGAGUACGGUCGCAAGAUUA
rnacentral:rRNA from 1 species